GACGAAGGGGGCUAGCGUUGUUCGGAAUUACUGGGCGUAAAGCGCGUGUAGGCGGUUGUUCAAGUCAGGUGUGAAAGCCUUGAGCUCAACUCAAGAAAUGCACUUGAUACUGGAUGACUAGAGGACCGGAGAGGAUAGUGGAAUUCCCAGUGUAGUGGUGAAAUACGUAGAGAUUGGGAAGAACACCAGUGGCGAAGGCGGCAUUCUGGACCGACAUUGACGCUGAGGAGCGAAAGCCAGGGGAGCAAACGGG
rnacentral:rRNA from 1 species